rnacentral:rRNA from 1 species
ACUUUACGGAUCGCAUCUCUGAUGCGACAUAUCAUUCAAGUUUCUGACCUAUCAGCUUUAGACGGUAGGGUAUUGGCCUACCGUGGCUAUGACGGGUAACGGGGAAUUAGGGUUCGAUUCCGGAGAGGGAGCCUGAGAAACGGCUACCACAUCUAAGGAAGGCAGCAGACGCGCAAAUUACCCAAUCCUGACACAGGGAGGUAGUGACAAGAAAUAACAAUACAGGGCCUAACGGUCUUGUAAUUGGAAUGAGUGAAGUAUAAACCCCUUUACGAGUAUCAAUUGGAGGGCAAGUCUGGUGCCAGCAGCCGCGGUAAUUCCAGCUCCAAUAGCGUAUAUUAAAGUUGUUGCAGUUAAAAAGCUCGUAGUUGGAUUUCUGUUGUAUAAUUUAUAAUAUUACCAAGGUAAUUAUUAUAUUAUCAACAUCCUUCCUAUUAUAUUCUAAAUAUAUAGGAAAUUUUACUUUGAGAAAAUUAGAGUGCUUAAAGCAGGCAACUGCCUUGAAUACUCCAGCAUGGAAUAAUAAGUAAGGACUUUUGUCUUUCUUAUUGGUUCUAGGACAAAAGUAAUGGUUAAUAGGGACAGUUGGGGGCAUUCGUAUUUAACAGCCAGAGGUGAAAUUCUUAGAUUUGUUAAAGACGAACUACUGCGAAAGCAUUUGCCAAGGAUGUUUUCAUUAAUCAAGAACGAAAGUUAGGGGAUCGAAGACGAUCAGAUACCGUCGUAG